UACGUAGGGGGCAAGCGUUGUCCGGAAUCAUUGGGCGUAAAGCGCGCGUAGGCGGCCCGGUAAGUCCGUUGUAAAAGUCGAAGGCUCAACCUUCGAAAGCCGAUGGAUACUGCCGGGCUAGAGUCCGGAAGAGGCGAGUGGAAUUCCUGGUGUAGCGGUGAAAUGCGCAGAUAUCAGGAGGAACACCAAUGGCGAAGGCAGCUCGCUGGGACGGUACUGACGCUGAGACGCGAAAGCGUGGGGAGCAAACAGG
rnacentral:rRNA from 1 species